rnacentral:rRNA from 1 species
AACGCGAAGAACCUUACCUGGGUUUGACAUCCCACGACAACCGUAGAGAUACGGCUUUGGUAGCAAUACCACGUGGAGACAGGUGCUGCAUGGCUGUCGUCAGCUCGUGUGGUGACAUGUUGGGUUAAGUCCCGCAACGAGCGCAACCCCUAUGUCCUGUUGCCACUUCCGCGCAAGCGGAAAGCACUCUGGACAGACUGCCUCGCUUAAACGAGGAGGAAGGUGGGGAUGACGUCAAGUCAGUAUGGCCCUUACGGCCAGGGCUGCACACGUACUACAAUGCCCGGCACAAAGGGAAGCGAGACUGUAAAGUGGAGCAAAUCCCCAAAAACCGGGCCCAGUUCAGAUUGUCGUCUGCAACUCGACGACAUGAAGCUGGAAUCGCUAGUAAUGGCGCAUCAGCUACGGCGCCGUGAAUACGUUCCCGGGCCUUGUACACACCGUAGAGAC